rnacentral:rRNA from 1 species
AGUGAACGCUGGCGGCGUGCUUAACACAUGCAAGUCGAACGAGAACGGAUUAUAGCUUGCUAUAAUUGUCAGCUAAGUGGCGCACAGGUGAGUAAUGUAUAGGUAAUAUGCCUCUUACUAAGGGAUAACAAUUGGAAACGAUUGCUAAUACUUUAUAUUCCUUUUUAUCAAAAGAUAAAAAGGGAAAGAUUUAUUGGUAAGAGAUUAGCCUGUAUUGUAUCAGUUAGCUGGUGGGGUAAUGGCCUACCAAGACGAUGACGCAUAACUGGUUUGAGAGGAUGAUCAGUCACACUGGAACUGAGACACGGUCCAGACUCCUACGGGAGGCAGCAGUGGGGAAUAUUGCACAAUGGACGAAAGUCUGAUGCAGCAACGCCGCGUGGAGGAUGACACAUUUCGGUGCGUAAACUCCUUUUAUAUAAGAAGAUAAUGACGGUAUUAUAUGAAUAAGCACCGGCUAACUCCGUGCCAGCCGCCGCCGUAAAAC